rnacentral:rRNA from 1 species
GACGAACGCUGGCGGCGUGCCUAAUACAUGCAAGUAGGACGCAGUUGCGAACGGGUGAGUACCGCGUAGGUAACUACGUAUUAUCGGGGGAUAACUAUUGGAACCGAUAACUCAUACCGCAUACUAGUAGAUGGACCUGAGUUGUAUUAGCUAGUAGGUAGGGUAAUGGCCUACCUAGGCCACGAUACAUAGCCGACCGGAGAGGGUGAUCGUCCAAACUGGGAAUGAGACACGGCCCAGACUCCUAAGGGAGGCAGCAGUAGGGAAUCUUCGGCAAUGGGGGGAACCCUGACCGAGCAACGCCGCGGGAGUGAAGAAGGUUUUCGGAUCGUAAAGCUCUGUUGUUAAGGAAGCGGUACUUAACCAGAAAGGGACGGCUAACUACGUGCCAGCAGCCGCGGUAAUUC